ACUAUAACAUUGUUUCUAAAUAUUAUACAUGCAUGCGUCUGCACUAAAUUUGUCAAACUUAAUUACCAUAGAGCAGGUUCAUCUUACACGGUAACAUAAUAUGUGUGAAGCACUUCAAGUUACUAUUCCAUAGAAUCAGCACACACAUGUAGUAAGCAGUACAACAAUGACAAACAACAAACAACAAUAAAGCCGUAUUCUACUAAGUGUGAUCAAUUAUAUGAAUUUUAGAGUGUCUAUGUGCUCGUUUUUGCACCAAAUAUUCCGUUAACUCCAAAUACUCCAUGACUUUUCUUAAACGAACAACUACGUCCAAAUAGCUCAUAAAUCAACAAUGAUUAUGGACUCGUCUGGAAGUGCUUUUAAAAUGACAAAACGUUUUGGUGAAAUAUUUUGAAAACCAACCCUUAAUAAAAAUCAAGUGAAUAGUGGAAAAACACUAUGAGUACUUCAUACGUUUAAGUGCUUUUGGAACUCAACAUUAAUUUCACUAAAAGCGCUAUCAGUCAUUUUAAAAGCACUUUCAAUAGAGCCUAUAUUUUAUUUGACAAAUUUAUCUUUUGAAACGUUUAACCCUUUACGUUGUUUCUUAAUCUUGUGACAAUUUUUUUUUU
rnacentral:lncRNA from 1 species